ACAGUGGACGCGAGCAUCUUUGUUGUAAGUGUUUAAGAGCGUACGGUGGAUGCCUUGGCACCAGGAGCCGAUGAAGGACGUAGGAGGCUGCGAUAAGCCUCGGGGAGCUGUCAACCGAGCUGAGAUCCGAGGAUGUCCGAAUGGGGAACACCAGCCACAGUGAUGUGUGGUUACCCGCGCCUGAAUAUAUAGGGCGUGUGGAGGGAACGUGGGGAAGUGAAACAUCUCAGUACCCACAGGAAGAGAAAAACAACAUGUGAUUCCGUGAGUAGUGGCGAGCGAAAGCGGAAGAGGCAAACAGGUGGUGUAGCGGGAGGGCGUUGCAUUCGUGGGUUGUGGGAUCCGUCUUGUCAAUCUGCGGAUUGGCCGACAGUGAGAAAUCAUAGUGUUAGUCGAAGUGGUCUGGAACGGCCUGUCGUAGAGGGUGAGAGUCCCGUAGACGAAAACAUGGUGACUGUCGUGACGGACACCCGAGUAGCAGCGGGCCCGUGAAAUCUGCUGUGAAUCUGUCGGGACGCACCCGAUAAGCAGGCUCGAAUACUCCCUGGUGACCGAUAGCGGAGCUAGUACCGUGAGGGAAAGGUGAAAGUACCCCGGGAGGGGAGUGAAAUAGUACCUGAAAC
rnacentral:rRNA from 1 species